GAUGAACGCUGGCGGCGUGCCUAAUACAUGCAAGUCGAGCGAACGGACGAGAAGCUUGCUUCUCUGAUGUUAGCGGCGGACGGGUGAGUAACACGUGGAUAACCUACCUAUAAGACUGGGAUAACUUCGGGAAACCGUAGCUAAUACCGGAUAAUAUUUUGAACCGCAUGGUUCAAAAGUGAAAGACGGUCUUGCUGUCACUUAUAGAUGGAUCCGCGCUGCAUUAGCUAGUUGGUAAGGUAACGGCUUACCAAGGCAACGAUGCAUAGCCGACCUGUGAGGGUGAUCGGCCACACGGGAGCUGGGACGCGGUCCAGACGCCUACGGGAGGCAGCAGUAGCGUAUCGUCCGCAGUGGGCGGAAGCCUGACGGAGCAACGCCGCGUGAGUGGUAAAGGCCUUCGGAUCGUAAAACUCUGUUAUUAGGGAAGAACAUAUGUGUAAGUAACUGUGCACAUCUUGACGGUACCGGGUCAGAAAGCCACGGCUAACUACGUG
rnacentral:rRNA from 1 species